UAAAAUGCUGAGUGUUGCACCAGCACCAAACUGUCUUGUAUAUAUGCGGUCUCCUCUUUACCACAUUUUAUGGAUUUUGAGGACAUUAAUGAUGCAAAUAUGUAUAUCUAAAGACAUUAAUAUUAUUAUAUGGUUAAUAAAUAAUCCCAUAUAUUUAGAACAAGAAACUUGUAGUUCAACCUUCGUAGUUUGUUUAGUUUAUUAUUAUUUUUAUCAGUUAUUAGGUAAAGGGGUACCUCAACUCAUUUACAAUAUAAAUUGACAUUGACCUACAAUUCUAUAUAUACUUCUUACCCUCCAUAAUACAGCAUAAUACUGUAGAGCAUUUCCCUCUUUUACAAAAAAUACCUUCCACAUAAUAAAGUUGUCAACACCCUGCAACCUACUAUAUAUACUUCUGUUACAUUCGAAGUUAUAGAUACCAAAUUUUGAAAAGCAUUUUAAAAUGUGAAUUGUUGGCAUUCCCCCUCCUUUAAAACCACAUGGCCAAGUUGAGAACAACAUCAAAUUAUGUGCGUUGGGAAGAUAUUGUGAGUUGUGUUUUCGUCAAUAAGUCGCUGCAACAAUUACUUUAUCCAUAGACACAUCAUCGAGUUGCAUUUAUUCGAUCGUCUAUAUUGUGUGUG
rnacentral:lncRNA from 1 species